AGCAGAGUGAGUCAUUGUGGGAUUUAUCCAUAUGAUAUAAAAGAGCAGCUAAGCUUAAGUGAAAGUGCAUGGAGAAAGUGAAAUUUAAGUUGAAAAUGGUCACCAUUUCUGGGACAAGGUGGGGAGGGGGCAGGAAAAAGCCAAACAGCCAGGUUUAUUUAUGCUAGUGAUUAAAUGUUCCACUCAACAUAAGUUUUAAUAUGACAAUGGGAAAAAACCAAUAAUUUUUCUUUCUGUCAAUUAUUCAUUAUUUAUUGCUCAGAAUUUUUGUUAUGCAAGCACAUGGAGGGUAACUAAUGCAUCUUUUUUAUGACAUUAUAAUAUUUGUGAAGGAAUUUUCCAGGACUUUCAGGAUCAGACAAAAAGGAAGUGGUUUGGAAAGGGCACUACUAAAUAAAUGCAUUCUAAAAUGAAUGUUGAGUAAUUCAAUCAUCAGAAUGUAUGAAUAGAGUAAGCUCCAAAGUGAAACACAGUGACCAAAGAAAUUAGUGGAGCCAAGUUGCCAAGCAGAGAUAAAUAGGGGUCUAAUUGGUUUUAUACAUCUCAAUUGAGGUACUUAUUCAUGUGCAAAAAACUCACAACAUUAAAAAUAAUUUGAUUUAGAAAUUGUUUUCAUGGAAAGCAUUUGGUAUGAAGCUCUUCUAUCAAUGUAAUAUAAUGACAGCAGAAGAGAAGAUAUUUCCAAUUAAACACUUGAAAUCUUCAUAGCCAUAAAUUAGUUGGUAGGCAACAGUUUGUAUGAACUGUGACUCUGAAUGGGAAAAUAUGUUCUCUUCAGAAAAGUCAUGCAAUUGAAUGGCAUAAACAUGAUCUAAAAAUUCAUAUAGGUCAGUACUUACGUUUGUAGUUAAAUGAGAAUUAUGCUUUCUAAUAUGUUUAGCUGCUGUCUUCUACUGGAGGACAUCAAAGUAGCUUCAAAUAUUUGGGUGCCCAAAUGACUUAGAAGCAACAGAAGUAUCAGAAUCACAGAGUAUGCUGAGUUGAAAGGGAUCCAAGAAGAUCACUGAGUCCAACUCCUGGCUCUGCAUAUCCAUCCCUCAUUAACUACCACUUUGGAACUAAUUUUUAUCAGUCAAAAUUGGUUUGGACUGCCAUUACCCAGGACUUUCCAACCUCAGGCAGAUAAAACAAAUAAGGUACUAGCUAGAUUAUCCAGUAUCAUGCCCUAGUUUUUUACUCCUGUUUUGUUCUUACCUAAUUCUUGCUGCUCAGUGAGACAAGAGGUGUGAGAGCAGUGUCUUUAAAAGCUGACAUAAUCCAGCUGGAGCUUCAGACCUGUCAGAACCUGUCCAACUCAAGAUGGAAUUUAACAUGGAUGUCAGACCAGACGGGGUCUUUGGUUGCUAGAGUUUUCAAGGUGACCUCUGCUCUCUUACAUAAGGAGUCUCAGCUGGUCAACCUCCUUUAAAAAAUCGCAAGGAAAAAGAGAACUGGCUCCAACAAUUUUGACCCCAUUGUCUGGGUCCAUGUGGGCCACAUUUCUGAUGGAGGGAAAUGUCCAAAUGAGCAACUUCAGACACUUAGACCUUAGGGCAGGUCUCAUAAUGAAUUCAAACUCUGGCUUUGGGCUACAUGCUUCCCAGCUGGCUGCUUUUAUUCCUCAUAAAUAAUGCUGUGGGCACAAGAGCCCUGUAUUUGUUGUGGCUUUGUGAAGAAAGACACUUAAAAAUACAUAAAAUUUGGCCAGAAUACUGGGAAAAUGCUUAAAGCAGUAGCUCAGUAAUGCGUUUGGUAGAUCAGUCAAAGGCAAAAUUAGACACUGACCAUCUAUAUUCUUAGAAGGAAACAAGAAACUUAUGAGCACUGCUGUUUGCUGCAAUUUAAUGAAACAUGCAUAAUUCAAUGAAAAUAAAAGAAAAUGGUUUUCUGGCUGAAAAGCAUGCUUCCAAGACAAAAAGAUAUGUCACAUGUAUACUGAAAUCACCAAAUUAAUGUUGAGUUUUGAAAUACUAAGCUUUAAUUAAAAUUGAAUUUCAGUAAAUGGAAGGUUGCAAUAGUGCAGAUAAAAAAAAUAAUGUAGAAGGUUUUUUCUAAAAGGAUAUUAAGACUGUUUCAUACCCUUCUAAAAAAGUUUUGAAACAUGUAAUUUGGUUUCUCAAAACAAGGUUUUGUGCUUUAACUGACGUAAUGGUCCUUGAAUGUUCUGAACAUACAUGUGAUAAUGUUUAUCUCCUACAUAAUUUUUGUCAAACCUAAUGCCCUAAAAUCCAUUAGUAAGGAAAAAGAGUGAAGAAACAUUUCUGAAAGAUCUGUGUAAUGAAUGCUGAAUGACAGCUACUCAGGAAAACAAAUGAUUUCUUGGUUUUAAAUGAAAAUCAAGAUCAGCAGAUUGCUAGCUUUGCUAAAGAGGGUUGUCAUUUAGUACUCAGCCCAGACAAAAAGGAUAUCAAGUUGAAAGUUUUGUGAUUGAGGUGAAGACAUGGUCUGAUUCACCACACCUCACUUUGGAGUUUUGGAUUCUGAAUUUCACAGAUUUUUUCCUGAAUGAAGAGAGUAAGUAUUUUUGUGAAAUGAAAUUCACUUACCCACCUCUUUCCCUUAUAAGAACUAUCCAGGGUUGGUGAUUGAACUACUACCCUGGGCAUCCCGUUCCCAUGCUUGAAAACCCUCUCAGUGAAGAAAUUUUUCCCCAUAUCCAAUCUAAAUGUCCCCUGGUGCAACUUGAGGCUGUUUCCUCUUGUCCUAUUUCUUUUUACAACCUCCUUUCAGGGGGUUUCAGAAAGUGAUAAGAUCUCAUCUGAGCCUCUUUUUCUCCAGGCUAAACACUCCAAUCUCUCAGCAGCUCCUCAUGGAAUCUGUGCUCCAGACCCUUCACCAGCUUCUCUGCUCUCUGGACAUCUUCAGGAAUGGAGAUGAAGCCAAAGAGCAAAGAAAACCAUCUUCUCUGCUGAAGCACUGCAAGCGUGUUCUCAGGAAGCCUAAGGGAGAGAAGGUUUGUCAACCAGGAAAGAGAGUGGAGAAGAAAAUAAUUGGGAAAAUUCUCAAUUCCCAUGGCACUGCUCUGCUUUCUGCCAGGUGGCUGCAAUCAUCUCUGUGGUGGCUGAAAUCAUCCUUGGGCAACAUUCACCUUCAUUAAACACUCAUGGGCACUCAGAUGGAGGUGGUGAAGAUGGUCUGCAGGGAAGAGAGUACUUCCUUUCAUUAAACACUCAUGGGCACUCAGAUGGAGGUGAUGGAGAUGGUCUGCAGAGAUCCCCGAUGGCUCUUGGAAGACUGGCAAUGUUUGUCUUUUCUUUGGGGUUCAGAAACCUUAGAGGAAGAUUCACCUGGAUGAUGGGACCUCCCCUGAAGCUCCACAGUGCUGUUUCCUCCUCUCACAGUGGUGUUUCCUCCCUUUCUGGUCAAGGCACCCCUCCAGCUCCUGCAGGAGAGCUCUGCACAGGACAGAAGGUGGAGAUGGUCUUUGGAGGGUGGCAACAGCAAAAGGACAUUAAAUUAGGACUGGUGGUGGUGAUGGUGGUGCGAAUCAACGCUGAAGAAGCUGCACCUCUCCCUGUGCUUUGAUCACAGCUAUCCUGCAACAAGACACAUGGGACGAUGCUGUGCUGAGUGCCAGGGAAGUGCCUGCCUGGCACUAAAAAAACACAGGAAGCGUUUUCUACCUGUCAGCAUUGUCUGCUUUAAGGGAAGGGCAGUAAAAGUCUGCUGCCUUUGAUGGCCUGGUCCCCACACUUUGUCCAAAGCUCUGCCACCAAUGCUGUAGUGCUGAAAGGAUUUUAAGCUAGCUUGGAUUUUUUUUUCAUUCCAUUUCUGCACUGCAGAGGUCUAGUAAGCUAAAUGUCCCAUAUCCAGUUACUCCAUUACACAGCACAGGCUGGGCAUUUGUUGUGACGGAACAAAUAGCAGAAAAGGAGAAAAAUGUCAGGUGUAGGAGAAAAAUGUCAGGUGUAGGGGGAUGUGUGGAAUUUAUGCAAUUUUUCAUAGAUACGACUUAGCAUUUUCCUAGAAACUUCACCACAAAGACCUCAGAGCUGUAGAUGGAGGCAAACAGCUUUGCUUUAAUGUGAGAAAGAAAUUCAGCCAGCGCUUUGCCAGAGUAAUGGGCAAAAUUAUGCAGCUUUGUCCCCUGAAAAGGCUGGCAUUGCAACGGGCCUUUUUAUCCCAAAGGAGCAGCUGAAUAAUAUUUUUGACAACUUAUUGUGAAGAAAAUGCACAGUGUUUUUGAGAAGGGGUUUGUUUUCCUUUCACAUAGUUGCAAACAGUCUCACCUUUUCUCCAUUGAUGCAUACCAUACAUCUGAGCACCCCUUUCUAGCCUCAUUAAUAUGGCAUAUUGCAUAUUGUGUAGAAGAUUUUGAAUAACUUACUCAUGGAAAUGUUGACAAAAUCUUCACAUUUCUGCAAAUUUUAUAUAUGCAAAUAAAUCGCUGCUUUUCCUUUAAAACUGCA